rnacentral:rRNA from 1 species
GAUGAACGCUGGCGGCGUGCCUAAUACAUGCAAGUCGAGCGAACGGACGAGAAGCUUGCUUCUCUGAUGUUAGCGGCGGACGGGUGAGUAACACGUGGAUAACCUACCUAUAAGACUGGGAUAACUUCGGGAAACCGGAGCUAAUACCGGAUAAUAUUUUGAACCGCAUGGUUCAAAAGUGAAAGACGGUCUUGCUGUCACCUAUAGAUGGAUCCGCGCUGCAUUAGCUAGUUGGUAAGGUAACGGCUUACCAAGGCAACGAUGCAUAGCCGACCUGAGAGGGUGAACGGACACACUGGAACUGAGACACGGUCCAGACUCCUACGGGAGGCAGCAGUAGGGAAUCUUCCGCAAUGGGCGAAAGCCUGACGGAGCAACGCCGCGUGAGUGAUGAAGGUCUUCGGAUCGUAAAACUCUGUUAUUAGGGAAGAACAUAUGUGUAAGUAACUGUGCACAUCUUGACGGUACCUAAUCAGAAAGCCACGGCUAACUACGUG